rnacentral:rRNA from 1 species
AAGCGGAGGAAAAGAAACCAACAGGGAUUGCCUUAGUAACGGCGAGUGAAGCGGCAAUAGCUCAAAUUUGAAAUCUGGUCCUUUCAGGGCCCGAGUUGUAAUUUGUAGAGGAUGCUUUGGAGUCGGCGCUGGUCUAAGUUCCUUGGAACAGGACGUCACAGAGGGUGAGAAUCCCGUACGUGGCCGGCAGUCUUCUCCGUGUAAAGCUCCUUCGACGAGUCGAGUUGUUUGGGAAUGCAGCUCUAAAUGGGAGGUAAAUUUCUUCUAAAGCUAAAUACUGGCCAGAGACCGAUAGCGCACAAGUAGAGUGAUCGAAAGAUGAAAAGCACUUUGGAAAGAGAGUUAAAAAGUACGUGAAAUUGUUGAAAGGGAAGCGCUUGCGACCAGACUUGCCUGCAGUUGCUCAGCAGUCCCUCGGGGCUGUGCACUCUUCUGCAGUCAGGCCAGCAUCAGUUUGGGCGGUCGGAUAAAGGCCCCAGGAAUGUAGCACCCCUCGGGGUGUGUUAUAGCCUGGGGUGCAAUGCGGCCUGCCCGGACUGAGGACCGCGCUUCGGCUAGGAUGCUGGCGUAAUGGUCGUAAGCGGCCCGUCUUGAAACACGGACCAAGGAGUCUAACAUCUAUGCGAGUGUUUGGGUGUCAAACCCGUACGCGUAAUGAAAGUGAACGGAGGUGGGAACCCUCACGGGUGCACCAUCGACCGAUCCUGAUGUCUUCGGAAGGAUUUGAGUAAGAGCAUAGCUGUUGGGACCCGAAAGAUGGUGAACUAUGCCUGAAUAGGGUGAAGCCAGAGGAAACUCUGGUGGAGGCUCGCAGCGGUUCUGACGUGCAAAUCGAUCGUCAAAUUUGGGUAUAGGGGCGAAAGACUAAUCGAACCAUCUAGUAGCUGGUUCC